GGCACGGGCCCCUCCUCCCCGGCACGGGCGCCUCCUCCCCGGCACGGGCGCCCCGCGGGAUACGCGCCAGGGGUGUCUGGCCUGGACGGCGGAAAGGAGCAGCGUCCGCCCCCUCCGGCCCCGCGUGCGACUCCCUCACACUUCCAGGCCGUGUGGGUGCCAGGGCCGGGGGGAAAGGUGGCCGAGACGGCGUGAGGUGGGCGCAGGGGUGUCCGAACAGGACACCUGGGCCAGAAGGCCCCUCCAUUCUGAAGCAAGAUUCAGCAGUCACAGACCUGAGGCUGUUUCAUGUCUGAUCAAUUUGUGAUCUCUACGAAACGUCUUAUAAAUGGAUUCCUACAAUAUGUGGCCUCUGUGUCUGGCUUCUUGCCCUUAGCAGUGUUUUCAAGGUUGGGAACAAAUGUUGGAAAGACUCUCUUUGCUGCUUCCGUGAGCCCUUUCCGCGGUCCUGCUGGGAGUUGGAAGACGAGUCGGUCCCUGGAGGUGUCACUGCUUGCAGAAUAGCGGCCCCUGGUGGCCCCCAGGUGAACUCCGCCAGCCCGGCUGUCCGGACAACCGUGUGCCAAGCCACCCCCGUGUUUAAGUGAGGAGAUGAGGCACAUCCUGCAUGGCCUGGAGGAGAUUUAGAGGGAUUAGUGUUCUCCUGAGCAACCCUAGCAUCUCGCUGCCUAAACCACGGUGGAAGAAAAGAUCGAGGAUGUGAAAGACCACUAAGGAGCUGAUUUUAUUCAGGCUGUCACAUUAAGGAGAAUGUUCAUUAAUCAGAACCAUCUCAAGGAAAGAGAGAAAACCCGGAGUUUUAUAAAGGCAAGUAAACAAGGAGUCCUGCGGACAGGUGGACAGUGUCCUGAUGCAUCUUACAAUGGUUGCCA